rnacentral:pre_miRNA from 1 species
UUACUACUCCCUCCGUCCGGAAAUACUUGUCAUCAAAAUGGAUAAAAAGAGAUGUAUCUAGAACUAAAAUACAUCUAGAUACAUCCCCUUUUAUCCAUUUUGAAGACAAGUAUUUCCGGACGGAGGGAGUACUAU